rnacentral:ribozyme from 1 species
AACUGUACAGAAGGAGAACGAAAAAAAAAAACCUGCAUCUCUUAUCAAAAAAAAAACCCUCUAUUCAUACAUGCGACAUUUUCUUAGCUUCUGUUUCUUUUUUUUUUUUUGCUGUUUUCACUCACAAAA